GAAACGCUCAAGUUUAAAAAAUGAAAGUAAACCCAGACAGCAAAAAAAAAAAAGAGAAAUGAAUGGAACCAAAUGCUCUGUAAAAGAUUGAUUCCUUAAACUGUUCUCUGAUGAGCCACAAGAGAUGGCACUCGUGUCGAAGACAGCCUUGCUGCGAAAUGCGAAAAGUUGGAGAAGAUGUAGCUACUCCCCCGAAAUGACCACGCCAUCAGACAAAAAGCCCAUCCAAUGUUGCAUAUGUAAACUGUGAAAGAGGGUUCAGUCUUAUGAAGUGGAUAAAGAGUGAAUUCGUGCUCAGGCCUGAAAGGUGAGACCCUCUCCGACCUCCUGAAAAACCUCCUCCGCUCACUUGACAUCAAAGACUUGGAUCUUACACAAGCCGUCGACAUCUGGCAUGCUGACAGCUUGCGCUCACGCAGGCCUCAGUUUGUUCCGCAAAGUCCGCAAACACGGAACUUAAAAGAACUGAGGCCGGCUCAGGUGACGACUCUUUGACGAAAUGAGUUCGGAGAGCUCUGAAGACAUCUGAUUCUGAUGGUUUGAUCCCAAAUUUGGAAAUCAUCAAGUUUGUUAUUUCUACCUUAGCACUUUGGGUCUGUAACUUAAAAAUAUGGCAUCUCCACACAAACAUGUUAAAUCUUAAAACAUUUAAUGAAAUUUCUUGGAAGGAAAUGUUUGUACUUUUUGGGUUUUUUUUCAUUGAAAUGUCAUCAAUUCCAAUAAAAUUACCAUAUAAAUUCAGUGGCACUCAUAAUUUCUUGUUUUGAAUUGGCGAUUUUGAAAAAAAAGUGUGACGACAUUUAAGGCCAGGAUGAUAUAGUUGGGUGGGUUGUUGGUCUGCUGCAUCGGACCCCUAUGCGUUGUGGUCAAGGCGAUUACAUUUUUUUUUAAAUGGUGCGUUCCACCAUUACUAAGUACAGUACAAAUGCUAAAUGGCUACAAUAUCAUUUUCACACUAUUGAAUGUGUUUAUUGACCAUUAGAAUGUGUUGGCUCUUUGAUGAAGUUGUCUGUAAAAUGUUUGUUCAAAUUGAGACCACAGCAUAUGAAAGAAACAUAACCGUGUCAAUUAUCAGUUCUCCAGAGGAAGUGCUACUAUUGUGUCAUUCUGUUACAUCCCUACUUAUGAGAAAAUAUUUUGAUAUUUUUCAAAUGAGUUGUGAGGUCAAGUCACAUUAAAAGUGAAAAAAUGUGUUAAAAGUCCACCUCCACUCCAUGUAUUAUCCUGAGUCAGAUGCACUUGUGUGAAGUCGUGAGCUGCAUAAAGACACCGGUCCACCCCCAUACAAUCAGUAAGACUCAAACUUGUAACAUGGCCAAGACCAAAGAGCUGUCCAAAGACACCGGACACAAAAUUGUACAACUCCACACGGCUGGAAAGGGCUACGGAGAAAUUUUCAAGCAGCUUAGUGAAAAAAGGUCCAUUGUUGGAGCAAUCAUUAGAAAAUGGAAGAAGCUAAACAUGACUGUCAAUCUCAAUCGGAGUGGAGCCCCAUGCAAGAUAUCACCUUGUGGGGUCUCAGUGAUCCUUAGAAAGGUGAGGAAUCAGCCGAGGACUACACGACAGGACUUGGUCAAUGACCUGAAAAGAGCUGGGACCACCGUUUCUAAGGUGACUGUUGGUAAUACACUAAGACAUCAUGGUUUGAAAUGAUGCAUUCCACGGAAGGUUCCCUUGCUCAAACCAGCACAUGUCGAGGCCCUUCUUAAGUUUGCAAAUGACCAUUUGGAUAUUACAAAGGAGUCAUGGGAGAAAGUUUUUUGGUCAGGUGAGACCAAAAUGGAACUUUUGGGUCAUGAUUCCACGAACCAUGUUUGGGGGAAGAUGAAUGAUGAGUUCCAUCCCAAGAACACCAUCCCUACUGUGAUGCAUGAUGGGGGUAGUAGCAUCAUGCUUUGGACAGGACGACUGCACUGUAUUAAGGAGAGGAUGACGGCGGCCAUGUCUUGUGAGAUUUUGGGGAACAAGACCAUUGAAGAUGGGUCGUGGCUGGGUCUUUCAACAUGACAAUGACCCGAAGCACACAGCCAGGGAAACUGAGGAGUGGCUCCGUAAGAUGCACAUCAAGGUUCUGGCGUGGCCUUGCCUGUCUCGAGACCUAAACCCACCAGAAAAUCUUUGGAGGGAGUGGGCCAAAAUCCCUCCAGCAGUGUGUACAAACCUGGUAAACAACUACUGGAAAAGUUUGACCUCUGUACUUGCAAACAAAGGCUACUGUGCUAAAUUUUAACAUUGGUUUUCUCAGGUGUUCAAAUACUUACUUGCAGCUGUAUCACACAAAUAAAUCAUUAAAAAAAUCAUACAUUGUUAUUUCUGGAUUAUUCUUUUUAGAUGAUCUCUCUCACAGUGGACAUGCACCUACGAUGAAAAUUUCAGACCCCACCAUGAUUUUUAAAUGGGGGAACUUGCAAUAUAGCAGGGUGUUCAAAUACUUAUUUUCUUCACUGUAUAUCCACUGUAAAUAUUGCACAGGGUUGAUCUAGUCUUGGCAUUUGCUUAAUUGUGUUGUCUUAAGAACUGUAGGAGUUCCAAGGCUGUCCCCACAACUUAC